rnacentral:lncRNA from 1 species
AACAAUCUGCUAUUUGACCAAACUGUUUGCCCAAACAGACUGGGCAAACAGAUCAGCAGGGCAGAAACAGAGCACAAAAAUCAGACUGUUUGCCCAAACAGACUGGGCAAACAGGCCAGCAGGGCGCAGGCAACAGGGAAAACAGACUGUUUGCCCGAGCUGUUUUCCCAAACAACCCGGGCAAACAGCACCAGCAACCAGCAGACAGUAAAUUGCGGGAAAAUCAAAAUUCAAAUGCUCAAGAAGUGUUUUCCCUCCCAAACACGUGUGGACAGCUCAGCAAACCCUAAAGACACCUCAGCACUCAAUCCCACAUAUUUAGGAAGGCAAAUCUCAUCAAAAUACAAUUACCUUCCAAGAAUUCAACUCCAAUUGGGAAAAGGAGUCCCAUCUCGACAAGGAAACCUAGGGCAGCCUCUUCAGCUAUAAAAGGGCAUGCAAACCAGCAGAUCAAGUAUCUUUGGAUC